UAUGUGAUCGUCUCUCGCAUAUCAAUAAGCGGAGGAAAAGAAACUAACAAGGAUUCCCUAGUAACGGCGAGUGAAGCGGGAAGAGCUCAAAUUUGAAAUCUUAAAGGUUUUCCCUUGACGAAUUGUAGUUUAAAGAAGUGUUUUCCUGUUGAAGGUUUUGGUAAAAGUUCUUUGGAAUAGGACAUCAUAGAGGGUGAGAAUCCCGUAUUUGACCAUUACUUUCAGCUUUGUGAUACACUUUCAAAGAGUCGGAUUGUUUGGGAAUGCAGUCCAAAAUGGGUGGUAAAUUUCAUCUAAAGCUAAAUAUUGGCGAGAGACCGAUAGCGAACAAGUACCGUGAGGGAAAGAUGAAAAGAGCUUUGAAAAGAGAGUUAAACAGUACGUGAAAUUGUCAAAAGGGAAGCGUUUGACACCAGUGUUGUUUUUCUGAAAAUCAAUUAAAGAACUGUUUAUGCUAAGCUGUUUAGACUUUAUCAGCUAUACUGUUUAGUUUUGAGCCUUUCUUUAAUGCACUUUUCAGUUAACAAGUCAACAUCAAUUUCUUUUGCUGUAAAAAAGCUUGAGGAAGGUGGCUUGAGAUUCGUCUUAAGUGUUUAUAGCCUCUUGCCUAUGCAGUCGGAGAGAUUGAGGUCUGCAGCGUAGAUCCUUCGGGGCUAAAUGCAUUUGUGCUAAGUUAUAGCAUUUUAUAGACAACUUGUUGACUAUGAUUUGUCUUGUAGCUUACUCGCUUAUGUUAUUUUACCUACGCUUAGGAUGUUGAGUCAUCACACAUCUCU
rnacentral:rRNA from 1 species